CUAAUACUCCCUCCGUUCGAAAAUACUUGUCAUCAAAAUGAAUAAAAGAGAAUGUAUCUAAAUGUAUAUUAAUUCUAGAUACAUUCUUUUUUAUCCAUUUUGAUGACAAGUAUUUUCGAAUGGAGGGAAUAGCAU
rfam:Triticum urartu cultivar G1812 contig591320, whole genome shotgun sequence.